UACGGAGGGUGCGAGCGUUGUCCGGAUUUAUUGGGUUUAAAGGGUGCGUAGGUGGCUUUUUAAGUCAGUGGUGAAAUACAGCCGCUCAACGGUUGAGGUGCCAUUGAUACUGAAGAGCUUGAAACAAGUGGAGGCUGCCGGAAUGGAUGGUGUAGCGGUGAAAUGCAUAGAUAUCAUCCAGAACACCGAUUGCGAAGGCAGGUGGCUACGUUUGAUUUGACACUGAGGCACAAAAGCAUGGGGAGCAAACAGG
rnacentral:rRNA from 1 species